rnacentral:rRNA from 1 species
GUGAGGAAUUUUCCGCAAUGGGCGAAAGCCUGACGGAGCAAUGCCGCGUGAAGGAUGAAGGCCUAUGGGUUGUAAACUUCUUUUCUUAGAGAAGAAUAUUGACGGUAUCUGAGGAAUAAGCAUCGGCUAACUCUGUGCCAGCAGCCGCGGUAAGACAGAGGAUGCAAGCGUUAUCCGGCAUGAUUGGGCGUAAAGCGUCUGUAGGUGGCUUCAAAAGUCUCCUGUCAAAGAUCAGGGCUGAACCCUGGGCCGGCAGGAGAAACUCUGAGGCUAGAGUUUGGUAGGGGCAGAGGGAAUUCCCGGUGGAGCGGUGAAAUGCGUAGAGAUCGGGGGGAACACCAAAGGCGAAAGCACUCUGCUGGGCCACAACUGACACUGAGAGACGAAAGCGAGGGGAGCAAAAGGGAUUAGAAACCCUAGUAGUCC